rnacentral:rRNA from 1 species
GGAUUAGAUACCCUGGUAGUCCACGCUGUAAACGAUGUCGAUUUGGAGUUUGUUGCCUAGAGUGAUGGGCUCCGAAGCUAACGCGAUAAAUCGACCGCCUGGGGAGUACGGCCGCAAGGUUAAAACUCAAAUGAAUUGACGGGGGCCCGCACAAGCGGUGGAGCAUGUGGUUUAAUUCGAUGCAACGCGAAGAACCUUACCUGGUCUUGACAUCCAUAGAAUUCUGCAGAGAUGUGGGAGUGCCUUCGGGAACUAUGAGACAGGUGCUGCAUGGCUGUCGUCAGCUCGUGUUGUGAAAUGUUGGGUUAAGUCCCGCAACGAGCGCAACCCUUAUUCUUUGUUGCCAGCGAUUUGGUCGGGAACUCAAAGGAGACUGCCGUUGAUAAAGCGGAGGAAGGUGGGGACGACGUCAAGUCAUCAUGGCCCUUACGACCAGGGCUACACACGUGCUACAAUGGCGUAUACAAAGGGAAGCGAAGGUGCGAGCUGGAGCGGAUCUCAUAAAGUACGUCUAAGUUCGGAUUGGAGUCUGCAACUCGACUCCAUGAAGUCGGAAUCGCUAGUAAUCGUAGAUCAGAAUGCUACGGUGAAUACGUUCCCGGGCCUUGUACACACCGCCCGUCACACCAUGGGAGUGGGUUGCACCAGAAGUAGAUAGCUUAACCGCGAGGGGGGCGUUUACCACGGUGUGAUUCAUGACUGGGGUGAAGUCGUAACAAGGUAACCA